GCUGAUAUAACAACUAAAUCACAAAUAUACUUUACUGAAAAAACAAAUCAUUUGACCAACCUAGUAGAUGCGAUCGAACAGCCACACGUCACAACAAAGUACCGCAAGGGAACCACCAUCAAGCAAUAAACAGCAAAGACUAACCCUUGUACCUUUCGCAUCAUGGUUCAGCAAGAACAUAAGGACAAGAAGAAUCACAGCCCUUACCCCGAAACCGAACGAGCUA
rnacentral:rRNA from 1 species